rnacentral:rRNA from 1 species
UACGUAGGGUGCGAGCGUUGUCCGGAAUUAUUGGGCGUAAAGAGCUUGUAGGCGGUUUGUCGCGUCUGCCGUGAAAUUUCGAGGCUCAACCUCGAACUUGCGGUGGGUACGGGCAGACUAGAGUGUGGUAGGGGAGACUGGAAUUCCUGGUGUAGCGGUGAAAUGCGCAGAUAUCAGGAGGAACACCGGUGGCGAAGGCGGGUCUCUGGGCCGAAAUUGACGCUGAGGAGCGAAAGCGUGGGGAGCAAACAGG